UACGUAGGGUGCGAGCGUUAAUCGGAAUUACUGGGCGUAAAGCGUGCGUAGGUGGUGAGUUAAGUCUGUCGUGAAAGCCCCGGGCUCAACCUGGGAAUGGCGAUGGAUACUGGCUCGCUAGAGUGCGGUAGAGGAGAGUGGAAUUCCGCGUGUAGCAGUGAAAUGCGUAGAUAUGCGGAGGAACACCGAUGGCGAAGGCAAUCCCCUGGGCCUGCACUGACGCUCAUGCACGAAAGCGUGGGGAGCGAACAGG
rnacentral:rRNA from 1 species